AGACCUCAUCAAAUACAACCAAGAAGGAGGAGGAUCUGCAUGCAAGGCUGACCCCGCUCUCCUCUUGUCGUCUAUCACCAACAAGAUGACAGUGAUAGACAGUGCCAAACCACAGCCAGCCACGAUGACUGAGGUCUCUCCCAUCACGAGCACAAACAUUGAAAUCUACAACAGGUCACGUCACAGUAUGGUAACAGGUCCUUGUAGGAACAGUUUGUCUUUUAUUCACAACCUUUGUAAAGGUCAUGGAAGUUCCCAUGUAAAAUGUCAAA